UUUUUAAAAUGUUUUCCUCUUCCAAUAUUGACAAUAUCACUCCUCCAACUCGCGGGUGCAAAGGGAUGGAUGCAGAUGGGACACGGUUUUCCCUCUAACCAUCAGGCUACUCUAAUCCCCAUUGAAAGCAAUUAAAAGGUAGCUGAAUCCUAAAACCCUAAUUUCUGGGGUUGUUGUCACGGCAGCCCGACACAAUGAAUUCUCUUUGUUUGUUUACUUGGCAACAGAAGCUCAAGGUCAAAGAGCGCGUCGAGCUGUCACGCCCCAGCGCCACCAUGGAGGGGCUCUCCUCGCCCACCUGGCCUAGCUCGCCUAGCUGGCCGUUACCCACAAGGCACCUGGACAGGAGAGGGACCCGCAGGCAGGAGGGCCAGAGGGGGAAGAGUGAAGGAGUGUCAGCUUGACUGCAGGAGUCUAGCUGGAGGAACAGCAGCAGCUGUGUGAGAGGGAGAGAAGAGAUCCAGAAGAGGGUGCCACUGAUCAAAAUGUGAGCGCAACACACCGCACCGUUCCUCUUCCCCUUCCUUCUUUCCUCCCUUCCUCUUCCUGGUUCUGUUCAUCAUCCUCCUCCUCUCUGGAAACCCACCCAGAACCCUCCACCCACGGUACCUACCCCAGCCUCAACCAAAGCUCAUAAAGUCCUUCCCUGGAGGUCAAACCCCCUCUCCUCAGUACAGUAGAAGAGUGUUAAUUACGUCCAAGUAAGUCCCGCUCUGAGAAAGGCAGGAGAGAGAGAAAGACAUGAAUAAAAGUCUCCACAGUAUUUUGCUGUGAGGGAAGUAAUGAUGCUUUUAUCCAGGACAAUAUAAAAAAAAAAAGAAUCUCACUCUCUCUUCUUCUCUUCUCCUAACCAGUGUGCUGUCACCCCAGUGGACUUAGGUGAGGAGUUAUUUCUGCAUCUGGCUUGAGGUUCCUCUGAGCUUUUACAUAAUCAAAUCAAUAUUGCUAUGAUUCACCCUCGGGCAACGGCUGCCUCGAUGCAAGUUUCGCUGGUGAUAUUUGGCAGCUUACGAGAUAAAGAAAAAAAACGGGGGGAGAGAGAGAAAGACAGAGACAGAGAGAGAGAAUAAAACCAAACUUAGUUGGGCUAUAGAUUUUUGUUGUUUGGUCCUCUCCCUACCACCAGCCUGCUACUCACCUCUCUAUCGCGCUCUCUCACUGCCUUCUCCUUUCCUUUGUUGUGGGACUCCUCUCUUGGUAGGAUUUUUCAG
rnacentral:lncRNA from 1 species